AAGUCGUAACAAGGUAACCGUAGGUGAACCUGCGGUUGGAUCAUUAAAAAAAAAUCUAUUGAGGGGGGUCAGAGAUGACCCCUUUUCAACCACAUCUUGUGAACCUGUAACUUGUAUUGGAUGAUUCUCCUUCUGAUGUCAACUUUUUCUCUUUUUCCUCUCGGUGAUACUCUCAUCAAGGUAAAGGGAAACUUUGAUGUUUUGAAGGGAAACUCCACUCUGUAAAACCUAAAAAUAAAACAUAUCGUCUUGAAUUUUUUAUCGAAAAAACGAAAAAAACAACUUUUGACAACGGAUCUCUAGGCUCUU
rnacentral:misc_RNA from 1 species